CGCUGAGGAAGGAAGCGCCCAGACUGACUGUGAGAUUCAGGCCAGCGGUUGGGAGGAGGAUGGAGGGAUCCGGAACUGUUACUUUAAGAAGCCCUGGUAUACUUUAGUCCCAAUCUGUAUGAUGAUAAACACAAUCCAAAGUCCACCCAGAGAAUGCUGCAAUGCGUUGUAUGUAAUUGCAUUACAAAUCUGAAUUGUGAACGCUGGACUCAACAUUUUAAGAAAGGAAGUGGUUGCUCACUUAGGCAACAGGGAUUUGACAGGGGAUUGAGGAUAAGAGAACUGCCUGCAUGACUAUAUCCAUGUAUAAACUUCGAUUGAGAAUAUGAGUGGAAUGUUCAACUGCAGAGAGCAUCACUGCCAACAUUGUUCCUGGCAUUAUCUGAUGUGCACAUUUCAAACAGGGGUCAUGAGGUAGUGAAAUAGAAGUGGGAAAACUGAUGGAUUUAUGUGUCUCUGAUCUGAGAGAUUCUGAACCAGCUUGAUGUGGUACAAAGGGGGCAUUGCAGUGAAUUAGGGAAAUUUUCACAACGUUCUGUAAAUGUCAGAAUAUUCAUGACUCUGCCUUAUAAACUUGGACUUAUCCUCUCCCUGGACGCUUUUCUCUUGGAUCUUCACAAUUCCCUUGUACAUCCAGAGUUUGCUGAGUUGAACCAACAGUAACAUUUCCUGAAAUUCUGCUUGAUGUGAAAUUGAUAAUGAAAAGUAAACAAUAUUUAUUGAAAUUAUUUUAAGGUCACUUUAAUUAUGAAGUAUUGCAAAAUGCGUGCAUCUCUAAUUUAAAGCUACCAUCCAUUUCUAGUUAUCUCAGAUUUGUCCACUGUUAGACAAUGGCUUAAAAAGAGUUAUUUACCUGCAAUUUUUUUUGUCUUCUUCAAGAUGUGGACUAUAUAGAUGAAACGAAGUUGUACUUGUGUUAGGUUUGAGAUUACUCAGACUGCGGGUAACUUUCCACUCGUUUGACUGUUAUGAAGAGUUACGAGGUGUAAGUCUUUAUUUCUAGAGUUGACUUAGAAAUCAGAAGUUCAGCCACAGAAGGAGGAGAAUACAACACUUUUCGGUGCAAAUGCCAAAGUCACCAUGUGAAUAAAGUCACAUAGAGGGCAAAAUGUGAAUCGAUUCUACAAAGGAAAUAUAUUUUUAAAAUCAUUUUGAAUAACUUAACUCAAAUGGAACCUCCUGGAAGUGCUCCUGCAUUUAAUAAACAUGUUGACACUCUAGCUUUCCUCAUUAAGUGAUUGCAACCCCAAGUUCCCAUAAAUCAUGGACCAGGUUAUCAGCACCUCUGAUCUUAACUGUACUAGGGCGCCCAACUGUCUACAAUAAAGAACUUGAAACAGCAGGCUAUAAAGGAUUAACUCACUGCAACAAUUUAUUUUUCGUAAAAGAUGCCAAGCCUUUGGUUCAAACUGCAAUUAAAGGUCUCUUAAGGUGAGCAAACAGUUCACCUUCUUCGAGAUUAAAAUGAUUUAAUGAUUGUGAAGGGCAUUUGGAACAGUUUGGAGCUUAAAUGUUUUGUCCAUGUAGUUAAAAAUGUUACUACCGACUGAUUUUUUUAAAACAAGAGAUGCCGACCUGCUCUACAGAUCAAAGAACAGCAGCACAUUGAGUAAUCUGACAUUAGACACGCCUUUGAGGAAAAUAAAAAAAAUAUGCACGGUUCCAUGGAAACAUCACUGUACUAUGCUUACAAGCUAUAUUAAAAAAACUAUACAUUAUAAUGAUAUAGAACUGAAUUUCCAAGAGGGAAUGAUUUCCUGAUUUAGACCAAUGGCACUGGAGAGCUGGAUUUAUGGAUGGUCCAGAGAAGCACAGUCUUAUUAAGUGUAUUUUGGAUGUUAAAUCAUGAAGGUUU